rnacentral:rRNA from 1 species
GACGAACGCUGGCGGCGUGCUUAACACAUGCAAGUCGAGCGGUAAGGCCCUUUCGGGGGUACACGAGCGGCGAACGGGUGGGUAACACGUGGGUGACCUGCCCUCAGCUCUGGGAUAAGCCUGGGAAACUGGGUCUAAUACUGGAUAUGACUCCACGGUGCAUGUCGUGGGGUGGAAAGCCUUGUGCGGCUGAGGAUGGGCCCGCGGCCUAUCAGCUUGUUGGUGGGGUGAUGGCCUACCAAGGCGACGACGGGUAGCCGGCCUGAGAGGGCGACCGGCCACACUGGGACUGAGACACGGCCCAGACUCCUACGGGAGGCAGCAGUGGGGAAUCUUGCGCAAUGGGCGAAAGCCUGACGCAGCGACGCCGCGUGA